rnacentral:misc_RNA from 1 species
UAACCGUAGGUGAACCUGCGGUUGGAUCAUUAUCGAUUUAAUGAGAGUGUGCGUGUAACUAACUCUAUUGGUACACGCAUAAUCACACUCACAACCCCCCCUCGAGCACUGUUUGUACUGUACCAAAACACAGCAGUGAGUGUAUUUUUUUUACAUUCACUGCGGACCACACCAUGCAUAAUAAUUUAAUACAUGUGUCUCCAAGAACGUAUUCCUAUGUGAAUGCCGUUGUAUAAUAAAUAAAUAAAAAAACAACUUUUGACAAUGGAUCUCUUGGCUCUC